UACAGAGGUCUCAAGCGUUGUUCGGAGUUACUGGGCGUAAAGGGUGUGUAGGCGGUUCUUUAAGUUUGGUGUGAAAUCUCCCGGCUCAACUGGGAGGGUGCGCCGAAUACUGAGGGACUAGAGUGCGGGAGAGGAAAGUGGAAUUCCUGGUGUAGCGGUGAAAUGCGUAGAUAUCAGGAGGAACACCGGUGGUGUAGACGGCUUUCUGGACCGUAACUGACGCUGAGACACGAAAGCGUGGGUAGCAAACAGG
rnacentral:rRNA from 1 species